rnacentral:rRNA from 1 species
GACGAACGCUGGCGGCGUGCUUAACACAUGCAAGUCGAACGGAAAGGCCCUGCUUUUGUGGGGUGCUCGAGUGGCGAACGGGUGAGUAACACGUGAGUAACCUGCCCUUGACUUUGGGAUAACUUCAGGAAAUUGGGGCUAAUACCGGAUAGGAGCUCCUGCUGCAUGGUGGGGGUUGGAAAGUUUCGGCGGUUGGGGAUGGACUCGCGGCUUAUCAGCUUGUUGGUGGGGUAGUGGCUUACCAAGGCUUUGACGGGUAGCCGGCCUGAGAGGGUGACCGGCCACAUUGGGACUGGGAUACGGCCCAGCCUCCUACGGGAGGCAGCAGUGGGGAAUAUUGCACAAUGGGCGGAAGCCUGAUGCAGCAACGCCGCGUGCGGGAUGACGGCCUUCGGGUUGUAAACCGCUUUCGCCUGUGACGAAGCGUGAGUGACGGUAAUGGGUAAAGAAGCACCGGCUAACUACGUG